ACUGCACCCUGGGACAAAAGUCCACAGAAGAGACGCAGCUAAGCUAGUGAGCUAGCAGCUAAGGAGAGAGGAGAAGGAGCUGAACAGAGAGGAAGAAGGAAAGGAGUCAAGGACGUCAAGUAAGUGAGCUAGCAGCUAAGGAGAGAGGAGACGAGGAGAAGGAGCUGAACAGAGAGGAAGAAGGAAAGGAGUCCACGAGGACGUCAAGUAAGGAGCACAGUGGGCGGGACUUACCUGUGGCAGUGUCCCCGACGCUUCCCAUCCAACCUCA